AUUACGCUCACAGUCCCAUUAAGCUCUUAAUAAUUUUCCAAAAAUGCAUAAAAAAAUGUUUCCCAUGAGAGAGCGCAUCAAAAAUAAGGUUGCUAGGGGGUUACUGGCAGUUGGUGGUUUAGUUAUCUACAGUCAAAUAGUUCUAAAAAUUUUCUGUGAACAUGAGCCGCCAUCUUUGAAUUUACUGUUGCCACCUUCAAAGCCAAUGCUGUCACCUGUAAACCAAGUGCUGCCACCUUUAAACCAAGUGCUGCCACCUUUACACUCAAUAAAGGCCAAAAACAUCGGCAAUAAUGAUAUUGAAAU